rnacentral:misc_RNA from 1 species
GUGAAUCAUCAAAUUUUUGAACGCAAAUUGCACUCUCCUCGGAGAGUAUGCGUGUUUGAGUGUCAGCCUAUAAAAAAUCGACAUCUUUGCUGUUUCUCGUUGGCUUACGUCGGAAAUUUGGUCAUCUUAAAUCUUUUUUUUUUAAUGUAUUUAAAAUUUUCCUUUUGGUUCCAUGAACGUUUCUAAGAUCGAUUUCUUUACACGUUUAAGUUAGCUUUUGUUACUAGACGGGAC